GACGAACGCUGGCGGCGUGCUUAACACAUGCAAGUCGAACGGUGAAGCGAGUGCUUGCACUCGUGGAUCAGUGGCGAACGGGUGAGUAACACGUGAGUAACCUGCCCAUCACUCUGGGAUAAGCACUGGAAACGGUGUCUAAUACUGGAUACGACCAACCCUUGCAUGGGGUGUUGGUGGAAAGAUUUAUCGGUGAUGGAUGGACUCGCGGCCUAUCAGCUUGUUGGCGGGGUAAUGGCCCACCAAGGCGACGACGGGUAGCCGGCCUGAGAGGGUGACCGGCCACACUGGGACUGAGACACGGCCCGGACUCCUACGGGAGGCAGCAGUGGGGAAUAUUGCACAAUGGGCGAAAGCCUGAUGCAGCGACGCCGCGUGAGGGAUGACGGCCUUCGGGUUGUAAACCUCUUUCAGCAGGGAAGAAGCGAAAGUGACGGUACCUGCAGAAGAAGCACCGGCUAACUACGUG
rnacentral:rRNA from 1 species